UACGGGGGGGGCAAGCGUUGUUCGGAAUUACUGGGCGUAAAGGGCUCGUAGGUGGCCAACUAAGUCAGACGUGAAAUCCCUCAGCUUAACUGGGGAACUGCGUCUGAUACUGGAUGGCUUGAGAUUGGGAGAGGGAUGCGGAAUUCCAGGUGUAGCGGUGAAAUGCGUAGAUAUCGAGAGGAACACCUGCGGCGAAGGCGGGUUGCUGGGCCGACACUGACGCUGAGGCGCGAAAGCCAGGGGAGCGAACGGG
rnacentral:rRNA from 1 species